rnacentral:misc_RNA from 1 species
GAUGAAGAACGUAGCGAAAUGCGAUACGUAAUGUGAAUUGCAGAUUUCAGUGAAUCAUCGAAUCUUUGAACGCACAUUGCGCCCGCCAGUAUUCUGGCGGGCAUGCCUGUUCGAGCGUCAUUUCAACCAUCAAGCGCCUCGCUUGUGUUGGGGCCCUGCGGCUGCCGCAGGCCCCUAAAUCCAGUGGCGGGCUCGUCGUCGUACCGAGUGCAGUAAACAUCCUCGCUCAGGGAACCCGACGGGUGCCGGCCGUGAAACCCCCCCUCCUCAAGGUUGACCUCGGAUCAGGUAGGAAUACCCGCUGAACUUAAGCAUAUCAUAAGCGGAGGA